UACGAAGGGGGCUAGCGUUGCUCGGAAUCACUGGGCGUAAAGGGUGCGUAGGCGGGUUUUUAAGUCAGAGGUGAAAUCCUGGAGCUCAACUCCAGAACUGCCUUUGAUACUGAAAGUCUUGAGUAUGGGAGAGGUGAGUGGAACUGCGAGUGUAGAGGUGAAAAUUCGUAGAUAUUCGCAAGAACACCAGUGGCGAAGGCGGCUUACUGGUCCGGUUCUGACGCUGAGGCGCGAAAGCGUGGGGAGCAAACAGG
rnacentral:rRNA from 1 species